rnacentral:lncRNA from 1 species
GUCAGUUCGUUCCUCGGCUGCCGGUUCCCCAUCUCCGCUCUGCUCCGCCGUCGAAGCCGCCGCUGGUGGCUCCGGCGCCAUUCCCCAUGCCUGCAGUUCGGGUAUGGACACGGCACCAAUGCCCUCGUUGCCGCGUGCCGCAGGUCGAUGGGUCAUGAACGGUUUGCGGAAGUGGUCGAGAUCGCGCGCGGGAUAGGCGGGGCCGCCGGACGUCUCGAGGCCCUCUCCGAUCCCUUAAGCUUACUCCACAUGACGCCGCUGUCCUUGACGCUACCUGUCUCCUCCAGGUUGUGAUUCCGUUCUGUGCUUUUCUUUUCCCCCCCUAAAUGUUUUGUUCAGCUAGCGCACAUGUUGAAAUUGCUGCCCCAAGCAGAUUCACUUUGGUUCCUUCGCUGCCAUCGGCAGCUUCAAUGUGGCUCAGCAGAUGGUCUUCUGCCCAGAUCGUUCCUAAAGGAUGCCGGCGACGCGGACGAGAGCGACGGCCAGGUCGAGCGACUGGAAUCCGCUUGGAUGCCGGCGGCGGGUCUAUCUGUGCAAGAUAAAGCACAUGGAUAUCGAAUCUGUAUUGGUCAAAUCACAG